rnacentral:rRNA from 1 species
CCACCACCAAAGCAUUCUCUGGUGUUGAAGGCCCUGCAAAGCAGCAUCGCGGUGGCGGAGCGUCGUUUGCGACGCCCAACGCACAAAACAAGCGGUGAGUGCUUUGGGGUGGGGUGACUGCGUACCUUUUGUAUAAUGGGUCAGCGACUUAUAUUCUGUAGCAAGGUUAACCGCAUAGGGGAGCCGUAGGGAAACCGAGUCUUAACCGGGCGUUAAGUUGCAGGGUAUAGACCCGAAACCCGGUGAUCUAGCCAUGGGCAGGUUGAAGGUUGGGUAACACUAACUGGAGGACCGAACCGACUAAUGUUGAAAAAUUAGCGGAUGACCUGUGGCUGGGGGUGAAAGGCCAAUCAAACCGGGAGAUAGCUGGUUCUCCCCGAAAGCUAUUUAGGUAGCGCCUCGUGAAUUCAUCUCCGGGGGUAGAGCACUGUUUCGGCUAGGGGGCCAUCCCGGCUUACCAACCCGAUGCAAACUGCGAAUACCGGAGAAUGUUAUCACGGGAGAC